rnacentral:rRNA from 1 species
UACGUAGGGGGCAAGCGUUGUCCGGAUUCAUUGGGCGUAAAGAGCGUGUAGGCGGCCAGGUAGGUCGGUUGUGAAAACUGGAGGCUCAACCUUCAGAGGUCGACCGAAACCAUCUGGCUAGAGUCCGGGAGAGGAGAGUGGAAUUCCUGGUGUAGCGGUGAAAUGCGCAGAUAUCAGGAAGAACACCCGUGGCGAAAGCGGCUCUCUGGAACGGUACUGACGCUGAAGACGCGAAAGCGUGGGGAGCGAACAGG